GACGAACGCUGGCGGCGUGCUUAACACAUGCAAGUCGAACGGAAAGGCCCUGCUUUUGUGGGGUGCUCGAGUGGCGAACGGGUGAGUAACACGUGAGUAACCUGCCCUUGCCUUUGGGAUAACUUCAGGAAACUGGGGCUAAUACCGGAUAGGAGCUCCUGCUGCAUGGUGGGGGUUGGAAAGUUUCGGCGGUUGGGGAUGGACUCGCGGCUUAUCAGCUUGUUGGUGGGGUAGUGGCUUACCAAGGCUUUGACGGGUAGCCGGCCUGGGAGGGUGACCGGCCACAGUGGGACCGUGAGUCCGCCCAGACUCCGACGGGAGGCAGCAGUGGGGAAUAUUGCACAAUGGGCGGAAGCCUGAUGCAGCAACGCCGCGUGCGGGAUGACGGCCUUCGGGUUGUAAACCGCUUUCGCCUGUGACGAAGCGUGAGUGACGGUAAUGGGUAAAGAAGCACCGGCUAACUACGUG
rnacentral:rRNA from 1 species